GAUGAACUCUAGCUACAGGCUUAACACAUGCAAGUCGAGGGGCAGCAUGGUCUUAGCUUGCUAAGGCCGAUGGCGACCGGCGCACGGGUGAGUAACACGUAUCCAACCUGCCGUCUACUCUUGGACAGCCUUCUGAAAGGAAGAUUAAUACAAGAUGGCAUCAUGAGUCCGCAUGUUCACAUGAUUAAAGGUAUUCCGGUAGACGAUGGGGAUGCGUUCCAUUAGAUAGUAGGCGGGGUAACGGCCCACCUAGUCUUCGAUGGAUAGGGGUUCUGAGAGGAAGGUCCCCCACAUUGGAACUGAGACACGGUCCAAACUCCUACGGGAGGCAGCAGUGAGGAAUAUUGGUCAAUGGGCGAGAGCCUGAACCAGCCAAGUAGCGUGAAGGAUGACUGCCCUAUGGGUUGUAAACUUCUUUUAUAAAGGAAUAAAGUCGGGUAUGGAUACCCGUUUGCAUGUACUUUAUGAAUAAGGAUCGGCUAACUCCGUGCCAGCAGCCGCGGUAAUACGGAGGAUCCGAGCGUUAUCCGGAUUUAUUGGGUUUAAAGGGAGCGUAGAUGGAUGUUUAAGUCAGUUGUGAAAGUUUGCGGCUCAACCGUAAAAUUGCAGUUGAUACUGGAUAUCUUGAGUGCAGUUGAGGCAGGCGGAAUUCGUGGUGUAGCGGUGAAAUGCUUAGAUAUCACGAAGAACUCCGAUUGCGAAGGCAGCCUGCUAAGCUGCAACUGACAUUGAGGCUCGAAAGUGUGGGUAUCAAACAGGAUUAGAUACCCUGGUAGUCCACACGGUAAACGAUGAAUACUCGCUGUUUGCGAUAUACAGCAAGCGGCCAAGCGAAAGCGUUAAGUAUUCCACCUGGGGAGUACGCCGGCAACGGUGAAACUCAAAGGAAUUGACGGGGGCCCGCACAAGCGGAGGAACAUGUGGUUUAAUUCGAUGAUACGCGAGGAACCUUACCCGGGCUUAAAUUGCAGAUGAAUUACGGUGAAAGCCGUAAGCCGCAAGGCAUCUGUGAAGGUGCUGCAUGGUUGUCGUCAGCUCGUGCCGUGAGGUGUCGGCUUAAGUGCCAUAACGAGCGCAACCCUUGUUGUCAGUUACUAACAGGUUCCGCUGAGGACUCUGACAAGACUGCCAUCGUAAGAUGUGAGGAAGGUGGGGAUGACGUCAAAUCAGCACGGCCCUUACGUCCGGGGCUACACACGUGUUACAAUGGGGGGUACAGAGGGCCGCUACCACGCGAGUGGAUGCCAAUCCCAAAAACCUCUCUCAGUUCGGACUGGAGUCUGCAACCCGACUCCACGAAGCUGGAUUCGCUAGUAAUCGCGCAUCAGCCACGGCGCGGUGAAUACGUUCCCGGGCCU
rnacentral:rRNA from 1 species